AGCAGCCGCGGUAAUUCCAGCUCCAAUAGCGUAUAUUAAAGUUGUUGCAGUUAAAAAGCUCGUAGUUGAAUUUUUGGUCGGGCAAGUCGGUCCAUCCUCGUGAUGAGUACUGGUUUUGUCGGGCCUAUUUGCUUAGUGAGCCGGAAUGCUCUUUAUUGGGUGUUGCGGGUAGCUAAGACUUUUACCUUGAAAAAAUUAGAGUGUUUAAAGCAGGCUUAUGCCAGAAUACAUUAGCAUGGAAUAAUAGAAUAGGACGUUGUGGACCUAUUUUGUUGGUUUCUAGGACCACCGUA
rnacentral:rRNA from 1 species